GGCUAUAUAAACGAGACCUCGAUCACCGUUUUCACCCACACAACUCGACACCCACAAACCCCCUCUACUCUCAUUCGAACAGGGUCACAUUCAUCGGAGAGUUACGAUACCUUUGCCGGAGAAAACCAAAGCCGCCGGAGUUCGGAGGAAGCCGUUUCGAAGUCACCGGAGACAUACGGAGUUCACGACGAGAACGUCCUUUAUUUCGGUAGUGAGUUUUCGUUUGGGUUGUUGACGAAGAAGGUGAUAUAGUUGGUUACGUCGUUCCUUCCGUUCGUCCAAUGGUUUGGAGGUUGUUUGGGAAUGUUAAGGUUGAUUAGUACAAGACUCAAGAAACAAGCUUGGAUGGCUUUAGAUACCCAUUUUAGCAAUUAAACAAUGUUUGAAUUUAUGUUUACUAUUUGAAACAAUGUAUUUUUCUUUAGCUUUAAUAAAAUGACUUUAAUUCAUAUUGUC
rnacentral:lncRNA from 1 species